rnacentral:sRNA from 1 species
AUGCCUAAGUUUAAACUUUCACACCGAGACAACUUGGAAAUUAUUGCCCUUUACAGACAGAGUUGGCCCGUUCAUGCCAUUGUUAGGAGGUUAGCUGAAAUAGGUAUAGAUGUAACCUGGGGUACGGUGAAGAAUGUCAUCAAACGAUACCAAUACGGAAAGAUUGGGUAUGAAAACUUCAAUCAUAAAGACCAAAAUCUACCGAAAUUUCAGUACAUAACAGAUCAAGACAUCAACUUUGUGAAGACAGCACUGACUGAGAAUCCAACAAGAACAGCUACCGAUAUUAAACAUAUCUUAGCAGACAAAGGCACUCACACCAGUAAGUCAACUGUGAGAAAAGUCAUUGAUGCAGCCGGAUUCACAGCUUCUAAACCCAGAUACGGUCAAAUGGUUAGAGACGUUAACAAGGAGAAACGGGUCCAAUUUGCCAGAGAGGUCAUUUCAAACGACGAUCAUUUUAACAAUGUCAUUUUUACAGACGAGUGCUCCGUGCAGUUGCAUAAACAACAAGAUAGUUAUCUACCGAGAGAAAGACUCUGUAGCACCGGUUUUACCAAAACCUAA